AAAAGCUACGACGGGUAAAAAAAAAGUUAAGCAACGUCGGGUCACGUUAGUACUUAGAUGGGUGACCACUUGGGAAUACGGGAUGCUGUUG
rnacentral:rRNA from 1 species